AUUCCAGCUCCAAUAGCGUAUAUUAAAGUUGUUGCAGUUAAAAAGCUCGUAGUUGGAUUUGUGGUGUACUUCGGCGGCCCGUCACUAUGUGAUGGAGCUUGCUGAAGUCGCCAUCCUUGGGUGGAUCCUGUGUGGCAUUAAGUUGUCGUGCAGGGGAUGCCCAUCGUUUACUGUGAAAAAAUUAGAGUGUUCAAAGCAGGCUUAUGCCGUUGAAUAUAUUAGCAUGGAAUAAUAAGAUAGGACCUUGGUACUAUUUUGUUGGUUUGCGCACCAAGGUAAUGAUUAAUAGGGACAGUUGGGGGUAUUCGUAUUUCAUUGUCAGAGGUGAAAUUCUUGGAUUUUUGAAAGACGAACUACUGCGAAAGCAUUUGCCAAGGAUGUUUUCAUUA
rnacentral:rRNA from 1 species